GCCGGGAGGCUGGGCCGGGCCCUGCGGCUUCAUCUUCCCUCCUGCUUAUCUCUUACCUCUUUGAUAACCAAACCAUGAAAUAAGACACAUUGUUUCAGAGUCCUGAAAAUUACAGUGUGAAGCAAGUUCCUUUAUUCUCUCUUCAAUCUCCCUUUACAUUGACAUGUAACAUGAAUUGACAGGGAUUUCAUCAGGAUUUUGACUUGAGACUGAGCUGUUUAUACCACACGUCUAUUCAAAGCAAAGGGACAGGUGAGGAAAAGGAGCCAGAGAUUAGCCCUUUGUUAUAAAAUACCCCAUGAAAACAGGAAGCUCUUGGGUCAGUGUUACAGUGCCUAACAGUGGCUAAGAAGAAGCCUUAACUUGGUAUUAGUGGAAACAGUAAGUAUUAAUAGAAAUACUAGAAAUAAUUUUUGUGUAAUGACUUAUGUUCUAAGUAACAAUUUUUUUUAGCACAUACUUAAAUUCUGUCACAGCACUUUUAAUCUUUGAGCAUCUUAACAGCUAAUAUUUUUACUGAAAAGCCCCUUUGACAAGUACUUUGAAGAGAACCAUUUUCACAUUACCCUACGAUUAUUCUGGGUAGCUGUUCCCUUUGAGAGUGUGCAUUCUUUAAUUUGUUUCUUGCAAGAUGUUAAGAAUUAGAUAGAAAAAGAACACUUUUACGAGACAAAAGCUAUUUCCCAAAUUCUUUCCAUGCCCUUACCCUAGUCUCGUUUCAAGAGAAUAGUUGCUAUUACCCACAAAGUAAUGCCUUUCAAAUCCCAGUAAUUAAAUGCUUAAGAAGAUUAAAGCUUUAUUUGCUCAAACCAUAAAUCCACAGGAGCUCUAUUAGUAACUAAUUAAAAUGAUCAUUACUGUUAGGAAGUGAGGACUUGUAGAAUAUUGCUUUUCAAAAGUACACUUGGCACUUUACAGUGCCAUCCAGACAGAGCCAAGUGAGUGCUGGUCACAUGAGCCACACUCCUGGUUUGGGCUCAGCCUGGCAAUCUGCUGCUUUGAGUUAGGGACCGCUAUACCUCGUCUGACUUGGCUUCUUUCCAGGCCAAACUGAGGGACAGAACAGCCAGUAUCUUUUCCCUCCAAACAAAUAUCCUCUUCCUUCUGUGCACAGAGACUCAAAGGAGGAUGACAAGGUGAUUCUCAGAGCUUGAAAUCAGGUGGUAACAGGGUCACUCACACCACUCCCACCUCGUCGAAAAACUUUCACGAAGCUGGUCGCUGAUGGAAAACCUUGGAGACUGCUGCCAUACAACAUGUUUGUCCAUACCAUUAAUAAAAUCCACUUAUUCAGAUAUCAUUGUUAUUUUAUUAUUUUUAUGUGGGUGCCCUUGGACUUACUAUGUAGCUCCGGCUGGCCUCACACUUGUGGCAGUCCUCCCAAUGACUGGGUAUACAGGCACGCACCCCUACACCCGGCUUUCAAACAUCAUUUUUAAAAGUAUGUAUUACAAAUAAUACAUGUUUUUUGUAGAAAAGUUACAGAGUGCUCAUUCACAAAUAGAAAGCAGGCUAAUGACUCAACACCACCAGCAGUCAGGAACAUCUCUCUUAACAUGUUAACAUACACCUUCCCUUACUUUUGGGGGGUUUUUUGUUUUGUUGUUUUUGUCUUUUUGAGACAGGCUUGCCUUUUAACUCACUGUGUAACCCAGACUGGCCUCAAACUCACAGCCUCCCAAGGGCUGCAUUUACAAGUGUACACCGCUGCACCCACUUGUUACAUGUUUUCUACAUAUGUAAAAAUUUUUAAGAAAAAUACGAAAUCCUCUUAUACAUGCUGAUUUAUUUUUCUUUCCUAUUUCCUAGUACUUUCCAAAUCCCUCAUCAUGGAUACCUUCAUACUCACUGUGACACAUUUAGUGUGUGUUUAAACAAAGAGGUGUGCGUGUAUAUGAGUAUGUGUGUGUGCACAUGUGUGUUAAAGUUUACGUAAAUAGUGCUGCACUAAGCCCAUGUUUGUUUCCAGCUUUUUCCCUGGGACCCUUUCUGAGCUCUUCCCAUGCUGCUAGUGAUCUCAGGGCACCUCUGCAUAAGAUCCCACAGUAUGUACCAGUGACAUUUUACCUCUCUUCCCCAAGCACAGGCACAUAGAUUGCCAGAAACUUCGAUGCCACACACACACACA